rnacentral:tRNA from 1 species
UCCCUGGUGGUUUACACGGUAAAAAAUCUGCCUUCUACGCAGGAGACCCAGGUUUGAUCUCUUGGUCGGGCAG